GAUGAACGCUGGCGGCGUGCCUAAUACAUGCAAGUCGAGCGAACAGACGAGGAGCUUGCUCCUCUGACGUUAGCGGCGGACGGGUGAGUAACACGUGGAUAACCUACCUAUAAGACUGGGAUAACUUCGGGAAACCGGAGCUAAUACCGGAUAAUAUAUUGAACCGCAUGGUUCAAUAGUGAAAGACGGUUUUGCUGUCACUUAUAGAUGGAUCCGCGCCGCAUUAGCUAGUUGGUAAGGUAACGGCUUACCAAGGCAACGAUGCGUAGCCGACCUGAGAGGGUGAUCGGCCACCCUGGAACUGAGACCCGGUCCAGACUCCUACGGGAGGCAGCAGUAGGGAAUCUUCCGCAAUGGGCGAAAGCCUGACGGGGCAACGCCGCGUGGGUGAUGAAGGUCUUCGGAUCGUAAAACUCUGUUAUUAGGGAAGAACAAAUGUGUAAGUAACUAUGCACGUCUGGACGGUACCUAAUCAGAAAGCCACGGCUAACUACGU
rnacentral:rRNA from 1 species